rnacentral:rRNA from 1 species
AGCGAACGCUGGCGGCAGGCUUAACACAUGCAAGUCGAACGCCCCGCAAGGGGAGUGGCAGACGGGUGAGUAACACGUUGGAACGUACCCUUUGGUUCGGAAUAACUUGGGGAAACUCAAGUGAAUACCGGAUAAGCCCGUAUGGGGAAAGGGUUACUCCCGAAGGAUCGGCCCGCGUCGGGUUAGCUAGUUGGUGGGGUAAUGGAUCACCAAGGCGACGAUCAGUAGCUGGUCUGAGAGGAUGAUCAGCCACACUGGGACUGAGACACGGCCCAGACUCCUACGGGAGGCAGCAGUGGGGAAUAUUGGACAAUGGGGGCAACCCUGAUCCAGCCAUGCCGCGUGAGUGAUGAAGGCCUUAGGGUUGUAAAGCUCUUUUACCCGGGACGAUAAUGACUGUACCGGGAGAAUAAGCCCCGGCUAACUUCGUGCCAGCCGCCGCAGUAA